rnacentral:lncRNA from 1 species
GACUUUCCAAAACUAACUAAAAGCAACUCCUAUGUGAAUGAACAAAAGAGCUACCGUGGGAAGUAGUUUUGGAGUGUAUUUCCUGGUUUGGUGCCGACAAUUGCAUUAGACUGGAUUGUAGGAAAUGUAAUUAUACAUAUUCUUAUCAAAAAGCUGCUUUCGUAAAGCAUUUGUCAAGGUGCAAUUAUCCACGGCUCGUCAAUUCUUUUAUAUACAUUAACGCAAGUUGGGCUAUAUAUAUUCACACUAAUAAAUCACACCAUUAAGGAGGCCCCGUUUGCAUGCUUUAUAUUGCAUGAUUGCAUUUCCACAUUCUUAUAUGAAAUUCUGUAAGCUAUAUGAAUUAUUGUUUUAUUUUUUUUAUGUUUUUUAUACAAGCGAUACUGGGGGGAGAGGCGGAUUGAACCUAAGACCUCUGGUGCAUAUAUAAAUAUUUUUAACCACUUAAGCUACAAGUUCCUUACACAUUAUUAUUUUAUUGUUCAUAUUAUACUAAAGUUU